ACAAGUAAACAAAUACACAGCUAUAUGCUUUCAAAGGUACAGAGGUAACUUUCCUUUCACAUCAACAUGGGCAUCUACAUUGAAACAUGGUGUAAAGAAAUCAGACAGUAAAGGUGAGAUGGAGCAAAGAACAAAGAGGAAUAACAGUGGUAUCACUGAAGUGAAUCCAGCUGAAGAUACACUAUUAUUCUAUUAUUUCUUAACAUUGUGAAAUAAAAGAUUUUUGACCAGUAUCACAAUUUCUCAUGUAUCACUGAACUUCCUUAAUCAAAUGAUAAAAAAACUGUUUCAUCACAGUCUAUCACUGUAUAUUUUGAUCCAAAUCCAGAAGCAGAUGAAAAAUUCACAAAUGUAUUCUCAUUGAAACAGCUCUUUCAGCAAAGACUGGUACAGAGGGAAUUUUCCUUUCACAUCAAAAUGAGCAUCUAUGUUUCUAUAGAACAAAGUAAAACAUGGUGUAAAGAAAUCAGACAGUAAAGGUGAGAUGGAGCAAAGAACAAAGAGGAAUAACAGUGGUGUCACUGAUGUGAAUCCAGCUGAAGAUACACAAUUAUUCUAUUAUUCAUUAACAUUGUGAAAUAAGGGAUAUCUGAUCAGUAUCACAAUUUCUCCUGUAUCACUGAACUUUUUAAAUCAAAUGAUAAAAAUCUGACUCAUCACAGUCUAUGUCUGUAUAUUUUGAUGCAAAUAUAGAAGCAGAUAAAAAAUUCAUGAAUCUCUUCUCAUUGAAACAGCUUCUAUCAACAAAGACAGGUACACUGCUACAGUGUGUGAAGAAAAA